UCUCUCCCCUUGCAAUUGGCAGCGAGUAGCAAGGGGAAGGUGUUGGCACAGACCUGGGUAGGCUUACGGUGCAUAAAUGUACAUUAAGCAUCAUCUGGACUCCAGGGGUGGGGGAAGCUGCCAAGUUCAACUCUGCCCUUCUCUUCUGUCAUCGUUUCCCUUUUUCCCCUUCAUGUCAAAUACGUUCAUGCCGGGUGCUGGACCUGCUCAUCCUGGAAGCAAGGAAAGGCUUCAGUCCUUGGCUGAAGGAGGGGCAAAUUCAGUCCCUCUUAGUUCUGAAGUGUUUGCUCCUGUGACCGCUUUUCCAGACCCGUGGUUUUACCUUGGAGUUCCUGUGCUAGAGGUGACUUGUAGAAGCACCAAGCUUGUUUCAGCUCUGCGUGUGGCAGGAGCUGCCUGGCCAGGUGAGUAUCCACUGAGCUCUUGAACACUCUGAGAAGAUUUAGGGCUGGAGACUGCAUUUUCCGUGACUCCCAGGUCAGGAUUAAGUUGUAGUCCUGGAGGGAAAGCAAGGGAAGCCAGCAGGGCUCAGACAGGAUGAGUAAGGAAUGCUGUAUUCGCUUGGUUACUUUGGAGACUGGUGACACCUCCUCUGUAGCCAUACUGACUUCAGGUGAGCCCUGUGGCUAGGAGCGGCGUUGCUGCUUCCCUGGCUUGCUCUGCAGUCUGGCACCGGGUUAAGAAGUUGCACUCACGAAUUUGUUUACCUGGACUUAAUUGGACUGAGUUUGUGGAGUCUGCCUACAUUCCCGAGAGGCCCUAGCCUGUGUAGAGGCUCUAAAUAGUGUCUUUCUAGUGGCAACAGGUCAGAUAUUUUUGCUGUUUCAGUUUCU
rnacentral:lncRNA from 1 species